AUAUUUUUGAACACUUGUGAUAUCUUCAUUUGUUACUAUGUUGAUUUAACACCUACUAAUUUUGACCUUUACUCUUAGUACUCUGUUUACGUUUUUACCUAUGACUAUUAUAACGGAAACCAGUUGCAUCACUGAUUUAAUUCCUUGCGAGCGUAUGGUUGCUUUCUGUAAUUAGUAAACGUGGGAUAGUUAGGGGGGUUCAAUAUAAGAAUGAGACAUAAUUGUUCCUGUAGGCUCUUCUUUAUUUCACUUCAGUGCAUCUGAAAAA
rnacentral:misc_RNA from 1 species